CCCGACUGCUUCGGUAGUGGGAGCGUACACAGGUGCUGCAUGGCUGUCGUCAGCUCGUGUCGUGAGAUGCUGGGUUAAGUCCCGCAACGAGCGCAACCCUGCAUCCAGUUGCCAUCGGGCGAGCCGGGCACUCUGGAGGGACUGCCGGCGACAAGCCGGAGGAAGGUGGGGAUGACGUCAAGUCAUCAUGGCCCUUAUGUCCAGGGCGACACACGUGCUACAAUGGCCGGCACAGCGGGAAGCGGAGGGGCGACCCUGAGCGGAUCCCCUGAAAGCCGGUCCCAGUUCGGAUUGCAGUCUGCAACUCGACUGCAUGAAGUUGGAAUCGCUAGUAAUCGCGGAUCAGCCAAGCCGCGGUGAAUACGUUCCCGGGCCUU
rnacentral:rRNA from 1 species